UACAGAGGGGGCGAGCGUUGUUCGGAAUUACUGGGCGUAAAGGGCGCGUAGGCGGCCUGCUAAGUCGAACGUGAAAUCCCCGGGCUCAACCCGGGAACUGCGUCCGAGACUGGUUGGCUUGAAUCCGGGAGAGGGAUGUGGAAUUCCAGGUGUAGCGGUGAAAUGCGUAGAUAUCUGGAGGAACAUCGGUGGCGAAGGCGGCAUCCUGGACCGGUAUUGACGCUGAGGCGCGAAAGCCAGGGGAGCAAACGGG
rnacentral:rRNA from 1 species